rnacentral:rRNA from 1 species
UACAGAGGUCCCAAGCGUUGUUCGGAUUCACUGGGCGUAAAGGGUGCGUAGGUGGCAGGGUAAGUUUGAUGUGAAAUCUCCGGGCUUAACCCGGAAACUGCAUUGAAUACUAUCCUGCUCGAGGUUUGGAGGGGGGACUGGAAUUCUCGGUGUAGCAGUGAAAUGCGUAGAUAUCGAGAGGAACACCAGUGGCGAAGGCGAGUCACUGGACCGGUACUGACGCUGAUGCGCGAAAGCGUGGGGAGCAAACGGG